CCUACGGGAGGCAGCAGUGGGGAAUUUUGGACAAUGGGGGCAACCCUGAUCCAGCAAUGCCGCGUGAGUGAAGAAGGCCUUCGGGUUGUAAAGCUCUUUUGUCAGGGAAGAAACGGUGCGGGCUAAUAUCCCGUGCUAAUGACGGUACCUGAAGAAUAAGCACCGGCUAACUACGUGCCAGCAGCCGCGGUAAUACGUAGGGUGCAAGCGUUAAUCGGAAUUACUGGGCGUAAAGCGUGCGCAGGCGGUUUUGUAAGACUGUCGUGAAAUCCCCGGGCUCAACCUGGGAAUGGCGAUGGUGACUGCAAGGCUAGAGUUUGGCAGAGGGGGGUAGAAUUCCACGUGUAGCAGUGAAAUGCGUAGAUAUGUGGAGGAACACCGAUGGCGAAGGCAGCCCCCUGGGUCAAAACUGACGCUCAUGCACGAAAGCGUGGGGAGCAAACAGGAUUAGAUACCCUGGUAGUCCACGCCCUAAACGAUGUCUACUAGUUGUACGGGUUUUAAUUAACGUUGGUAACGCAGCUACGUCGUGAGUAGACCGCCGUCGGGAGGUACGGUCGCGAGAAUAAACUACAAUAGAAGUAGACGGCGNGAGACGUGCCGACGACGACGACGAGGGAGGAGG
rnacentral:rRNA from 1 species